rnacentral:rRNA from 1 species
AACGAACGCUGGCGGCAUGCCUAACACAUGCAAGUCGAACGAGACCUUCGGGUCUAGUGGCGCACGGGUGCGUAACGCGUGGGAACCUGCCCUUAGGUUCGGAAUAACUCCCCGAAAGGGGUGCUAAUACCGGAUAAUGUCUUCGGACCAAAGAUUUAUCGCCUUUGGAUGGGCCCGCGUUGGAUUAGCUAGUUGGUAGGGUAAAAGCCUACCAAGGCGACGAUCCAUAGCUGGUCUGAGAGGAUGAUCAGCCACACUGGGACUGAGACACGGCCCAGACUCCUACGGGAGGCAGCAGUGGGGAAUACUGGACAAUGGGCGAAAGCCUGAUCCAGCAAUGCCGCGUGGGUGAUGAAGGCCUUAGGGUUGUAAAGCUCUUUUACCCGGGAUGAUAAUGACAGUACCGGGAGAAUAAGCGCCGGCUAACUCCGUG